ACUCCAGGGGUCCCCACCAGACCAGGCUUGGCCACCCGGCUUAAUUGGCACUAACAUGCAGUGGAGAAGUUUGGAAGGAACUCAUUCAGGGCAGCCACACUGGGAAGGAACAUCUUCAGGGUACUGGCAAGAGCUUCGGGAUUAUACAGAGAAGGACCGGAAGUGGGGUAGGGAGAAGAAGUGGGCAUGCUCAAGCAGUCUUGGCCAUGAGGCCUGGUUGAUCAUUGUCUCAGGAAGCUCGUCAGCCACAAGAAAGUUGUUGCUGCCUGGUGUAUAUUUGGCUAAAAAGCAAGUGAAAUAAUAUGAAUUUAUCAUAGCUGCAUCCAUUAGUAUCUUAGAAUGAUCUGAUUGUACCCAUGUACUUUAGGAAUGCCUUCUAGAUUCUAGGAAGCUGAGAUCUGCCGUAUGAUCUUUCCUAUACUGCUAACACACUCCAAUGAUCCUUUUUGUUGUUGUUGUUAUUGUUGUUACUGUAUCACUCUGACAGAACAUCAUCACUGUAAAACCCUGGUCUUGAGGAAAGCUACACAGCAAGUCAAGAGGAUCUCAGAAGCAAGAGACUGUGAGAAGUUUUCUAAACAGUCUCACCCGGCCUGCAAAAGCCCACCGCUGACUUCAAACCUCUUCAACAUCUACGGGAAGAGCCCUCUGAUCGUGUACUUCCUCCAGAACUAUUCCAGGCUGCGCCAGCACGGAGGGAAAGGACCAAGGUCAUACCAUAUCCUUGUCACUGCAGGUGGGGCACAGAAGCAGGGCUCAGGGAGAGGCACAGAGCCAGGCACCAAGUAGGUAGGUACUUGUUGGGGUGGCCUUCGAGAUGAGCCU
rnacentral:lncRNA from 1 species